rnacentral:tRNA from 1 species
AGGGUUGUGGCUCAGUAGUAGAGCUCUCACCUUGCAUGUGUGAAACACUGAAUUCGAUCCUCAGCACCACAU